rnacentral:rRNA from 1 species
AGAGUUUGAUCCUGGCUCAGAUUGAACGCUGGCGGCAGGCCUAACACAUGCAAGUCGAGCGAGAAAGCACUUCGGUGUGAGUACAGCGGCGGACGGGUGAGUAACGCGUAGGAAUCUACCCAGUAGUGGGGGACAACUUGGGGAAACUCAAGCUAAUACCGCAUACGCCCUACGGGGGAAAGCGGGGGACCUUCGGGCCUCGUGCUAUUGGAUGAGCCUGCGUCGGAUUAGCUAGUUGGUGGGGUAAAAGCCUACCAUGGCGACGAUCCGUAGCUGGUUUGAGAGGAUGAUCAGCCACACUGGAACUGAGACACGGUCCAGACUCCUACGGGAGGCAGCAGUGGGGAAUAUUGCGCAAUGGGGGCAACCCUGACGCACCCAUGCCGCGUGUGUGAAGAAGGCCCUAGGGUUGUAAAGCACUUUCAAUAGAGAGGAAAAGCUCAUGCUUAAUACGCAUGAGCCGUGACGUUACCUAUAGAAGAAGCACCGGCUAACUCCGUGCCAGCAGCCGCGGUAAUACGGAGGGUGCGAGCGUUAAUCGGAAUUACUGGGCGUAAAGCGCGCGUAGGCGGUUUGUUAAGUCGGAUGUGAAAUCCCCGGGCUCAACCUGGGAACUGCACCCGAUACUGGCCGACUAGAGUACGAGAGAGGGAGGUAGAAUUCCACGUGUAGCGGUGA